AGUGAACGCUGGCGGUAGGCCUAACACAUGCAAGUCGAACGGCAGCACAGUAAGAGCUUGCUCUUACGGGUGGCGAGUGGCGGACGGGUGAGGAAUACAUCGGAAUCUACUUUUUCGUGGGGGAUAACGUAGGGAAACUUACGCUAAUACCGCAUACGACCUACGGGUGAAAGCAGUGGAUCUUCGGACCUUUCGCGAUUGAAUGAGCCGAUGUCGGAUUAGCUAGUUGGCGGGGUAAAGGCCCACCAAGGCGACGCUCCGUAGCUGGUCUGAGAGGAUGAUCAGCCACACUGGAACUGAGACACGGUCCAGACUCCUACGGGAGGCAGCAGUGGGGAAUAUUGGACAAUGGGCGCAAGCCUGAUCCAGCCAUACCGCGUGGGUGAAGAAGGCCUUCGGGUUGUAAAGCCCUUUUGUUGGGAAAGAAAAGCAGCAGGUUAAUACCCCGCUGUUCUGACGGUACCCAAAGAAUAAGCACCGGCUAACUUCGUG
rnacentral:rRNA from 1 species